UACGUAGGUGGCAAGCGUUGUCCGGAUUUAUUGGGUUUAAAGGGUGCGUAGGCGGUCCUAUAAGUCAGUGCUGAAAUAUCCCGGCUUAACCGGGAGGGUGGCAUUGAUACUGCAGGACUUGAGUAAAGUUGAGGUAGGCGGAAUUGACGGUGUAGCGGUGAAAUGCUUAGAUAUCGGGAGGAACAUCAGUGGCGAAGGCGGCCUUCUGGUCCAGUACUGACACUCAAGUGCGAAAGCGUGGGGAGCAAACAGG
rnacentral:rRNA from 1 species